rnacentral:tRNA from 1 species
ACUCUUAUAGUCUAGUGGUAGGAUAGUGGAUUUUCGUUCCAUUGGUCUAGGUUCGAUUCCUAGUGAGAGUA